rnacentral:misc_RNA from 1 species
GUGAUUAAAUCGAGCGUGUCUUCAUUGACCGCUCACCCUUCUCACCAUCCACACACACCUGUGCACUGUUUAGCCUGAGCCGGUUUUCCGGUCCAGGUUAUCAUUUCAUACAAACUCUAGUCUUAUGAAUGUAAACGUUUUAAUAACAUAAUA